ACGCCAUUAAUAUUUUUUCUACUGAAGAAAUUGUUCAAAUAAACGAGGUGAAAAGGAGGAGGUCUUCUACUCUUCCUAAUAUGAAGUCUUAGAUGAUGUUUUCAUCAGUCUGUAAAAUUUAUGGUUCAUAAUUUGACCCACUCUAAAGUUAGGUAAUUGAACAUGCUCAUAAAGGACAUAAGUUUAAACUGGCCUCUAAAGAAUACUGUUCAUAUGAGAAUAUCGAGGACCCUUUUGCUUUUGUAUAUUUGAAUUGCCGUUUAUUUCACUUGCUGUUUUUAAAAAUGAUGUGUUUUUGAUUUUCAGGGAAAGGCGUAGGAGGAGGAGCAGGAGUUCUUCCAGAUCUCCAAGAACAUCAAAAACCAUAAAAAGGAAAUCUUCUAGAUCUCCGUCCCCCAGGAGCAGAAAUAAGAAGGAUAAAAAGAGAGAAAAAGAAAGGGACCACAUCAGUGAAAGAAGAGAGAGAGAACGUUCAACGUCUAUGAGAAAGAGUUCUAAUGAUAGAGAUGGGAAGGAGAAGUUGGAGAAGAACAGUACUUCACUUAAAGAGAAAGAGCACAAUAGAGAACCAGAUUCAAGUGUGAGCAAAGAAGUAGAUGACAAGGAUGCACCAAGGACUGAGGAAAACAAAAUACAGCACAAUGGGAAUUGUCAGCUGAAUGAAGAAAACCUCUCUACCAAAACAGAAGCAGUAUAGGACUGACAAGUGUACCUCUGCACUCAAUGCUGGAAUCAAAUCCAAAGCUUUUAAUUCUCUCAACAAGAUGUAAACAGGAAAGAAAUCUAGUUGAGCAUGAAGAUAGAGGAUCUAACAGCUUUUCCAGUUGUUAGAUGACUUUGUGGCCAUCUUGUUAUUGAGUAAGAAAAU
rnacentral:sRNA from 1 species